rnacentral:rRNA from 1 species
UACGGGAGGCAGCAGUGGGGAAUAUUGCACAAUGGGCGAAAGCCUGAUGCAGCUAUGCCGCGUGUAUGAAGAAGGCCUUAGGGUUGUAAAGUACUUUCAUCGGGGAGGAAAAAACAAAACUAAUAAUUUUAUUUCUUGACGUUACCCGAAAAAGAAGCACCGGCUAACUCCGUGCCAGCAGCCGCGGUAAUACGGAGGGUGCUAGCGUUAAUCAGAAUUACUGGGCGUAAAGAGCACGUAGGUGGUUUUUUUAAGUCAGAUGUGAAAUCCCUGGGCUUAACCUAGGAACUGCAUUUUGAAACUGAAAUACUAGAGUAUCGUAGAGGGAGGUAGAAUUCUAGGUGUAGCGGUGAAAUGCGUAGAUAUCUGGAGGAAUACCUGUGGCGAAAGCGGCCUCCUAAACGAAUACUGACACUGAGGUGCGAAAGCGUGGGGAGCAAACAGGGAUUAGACUACC